AUUCUUCUUCUCCUCCACCACCCCCUCCCUUUCAACAAAGUUUAAGGUUCAUACUCUAUCCCAUAGACCUUAAGUUCUCACAUUCAUCAAUGGGUCAAAAAAAUUCCAAGAACAUUCCGACUCCGUCCAUUGUGGUGGGGAUGGUGGCAGUGAAAAAUUCACCAUUCUUUACAUACAUAUUCCCAUGUAGUGGACUCAACUCUAACAGUAUAAUUAACUUGAGUCAUAUAUUUCCAAAGGGGGCUCCCAUUGAUGACAUGAGUACUCAAACAUUAUCAACGCGAUGUUGACAGUGAUAACGUGUAAGACGUUUUAUCAAGGUCAAGGGCUGAAAUUGAUGAAGAGAGCUAUAUCAAAACCUUCCAUAGAUGUUGCAUCUCCUUCUUUCCUACAUUCAUCAGAUAAACUGAACCAAUCCCUCGUCGAUGUUCCCCUCAAUGGCGACUAUUAUCCUUCUUGGCGUCUUGUCAUAACCCGAGCCCUGAAUGCCAAAAACAAGCUUGGUUUUGUCCUUGACACCGUUAAACAUCCAACAGAUGAUCGUCGUUGUUCAACUUUGGGAUCGAUUUUGUAAUAUGACUGUUAUCUUACAUGGAGUCUCAUCUACUAUGAUAAACCACACGAUCUUUGGACCGAAUUGGAGACUCGGUUUCAAAAGAGCAAAAAACCAAGAUCUUCAGGCUCGAGCAUGAACUGGCCAAUCUCCACCAAGACCAAUAGUCCAUCACCGAUUACAGUAAAUUGAAAGAACUUUGGGAUGAACUAUUUUCCCUACAACUAAUCACUCCAUGUACCUGCGGCGCAAACAAAUUCCCUUCUGAAAUUCAAGAUUCUGAUCGAGUCUACCAAUUCCUAACGGGCUUGAAUGAUAGCUUUCAAUAACUCCGAUCACAAAUCCUAGCCACAGAUCCCCUUUCUUCAAUUGGGCGUUGUUAUGUAAUACUGCACCAAGAAGAAACAUAACGGUUGGUCCAAAUCCCUUCUUGCUCAGAGAUGUUGGCUUUCCUCACUCACUCAAUACCUCAAUAAAACUCACGUCGACCCCGUCGCACUUGGCUAGCUAGAACACCGCUUUGUGAGGAGUGUGGGAAACCCGAUCAUUUUUGUGCAAAGUACUUUAAGAUUCUUGGUUACCCAGACUGGUGACCAUCAAAAAAUAAGAGCAACCCACUGAUAGCUAGGUCUUCAUCGCACGCGCUUGUGCACCAAGCUGUCAUACGUAACUCUGUACCUUCAUUUAGCUUGGACAGCUCUGAGCCCAGCAAUCUGAAUGGGUUUUUUUUUACCUUAAAUAGGCUUUCAACUGAACAAAUGGCCCAAUUAAUGGAGCUCCUCAAACUCUCAAGUUUUUCAAUUUUCCACCAUGGAUUAUUGAUAGAGAUGCUACGCACCAUAUUACCACUUCACCCUUAAAUAAAUCACACACUACUGCAUUUCCAUCUUUUUUGUGUUCCCAUAGGUGCUAAUACCCUCGUGUCUUGUACGAGUGACAUUUCUCUAUCUCCUAACCUUACACUUUCUAAUGUUCUAUCUACUCCUGAUUUUAAAUUUAAUUUAUUAUCUAUCAGUCGAUUAACAAAAUCCCUUAAUUGUGUUGUCUCUUUUUUCUCACCUUUUGCACUUUUCAGGACCUAACCACAAAGAUGCUAAUUGGCAUGGGUGAAGAGUGUAAUGGACUAUACUAUUACAAAUGUGCUCCAGCAACUGCUCUACAGUCAUACCUCAUUUGAUACAUGGCGUCAACGUUUGGGUCACCCUUCUUUACAUAAUGUUCCACAUUUUAUUUCUCAUCCACAAGUUAUUGA
rnacentral:lncRNA from 1 species